GCCUGAGUGGCUCAGUCAGUUGAGCAUCCAACUUCGGCUCAGGUCAUGAUCUCACAGUUUGUGGGUUCGAGCCCCACGUCAGGCU
rnacentral:tRNA from 1 species